rnacentral:rRNA from 1 species
UACGUAGGGUGCGAGCGUUGUCCGGAAUUAUUGGGCGUAAAGAGCUCGUAGGCGGCCUGUCGCGUCGGAUGUGGAAGCCCCGGGGGCUUAACCCCGGGUCUGCAUUCGAUACGGGCAGGCUAGAGUGUGGUAGGGGAGAUCGGAAUUCCUGGUGUAGCGGUGAAAUGCGCAGAUAUCAGGAGGAACACCGGUGGCGAAGGCGGAUCUCUGGGCCAUUACUGGCGCUGAGGAGCGAAAGCGUGGGGAGCGAACAGG